rnacentral:misc_RNA from 1 species
UUCCAAGAAAUGUCCCUCAACAAGCCUCCCCUGCCCAGGGCCUCCAGCUUCACCACCACCACCGCUACCACAACGCGCAGCAAAGGCUCCCACACUCGCCAUUGUUUCUAUCAGAAACGGCGCAGGCGUGCCGCCAGCCAAGAUUCCCUUCCCUCCGUCUCCGUUGACACUGCCUCCACCACCACCACCACCACAACCACCAGGUCUUCCUUCGGCCGUGAUGUUGCCUCCGAGACCUUUCUCUUGACUCGCCUCGGCUUCAAGAUGCUCCGGUAUC